rnacentral:rRNA from 1 species
GACGAACGCUGGCGGCGUGCUUAACACAUGCAAGUCGAACGCUGAAGCUCAGCUUUUGUUGGGUGGAUGAGUGGCGAACGGGUGAGUAACACGUGAGUAACCUGCCUCCUUCUUUGGGAUAACGCCCGGAAACGGGUGCUAAUACUGGAUAUUCACUGGUCUUCGCAUGGGGGCUGGUGGAAAGGGUUCUUCUGGCGGGUGAUGGGCUCGCGGCCUAUCGGCUUGUUGGUGGGGUGAUGGCCUACCAAGGCUUUGACGGGUUGCCUGCAUGAGAGGGUAACCGGUCACAUUGAGACGGAGAUGCCGCCCAGGCUACUACGGAGGGCGGCAGUGGGGACUAUUGCACAAUGGGCGCAAGCCUGAUGCCGCGUCGCCGCGUGAGGGAUUGAGGCCUUCGAGUUGUGAAGCUCUUUCGGUAAUGGUCAAGCCGCAACAAUGGUUGUGGUGAGGGUAGUGGGUGAAGAAGCGCCGGCUAACUACGUG